ACGGUAAUACGGUAGGGGGCAAGCGUUAUCCGGAAUCACUGGGCGUAAAGGGUGCGUAGGCGGCUUAGCAAGCCAGGGGUGAAAGGCAUUGGCUCAACCAAUGUAAGCCUUUGGAACUGUUAAGCUUGAGUGCAGGAGAGGUAAGUGGAAUUCCUAGUGUAGAGGUGAAAUUCGUAGAUAUUAGGAGGAACACCAGUGGCGAAGGCGACUUACUGGACUGUAACUGACGCUGAUGCACGAAAGCGUGGGUAGCGAACAGGAUUAGAUACCCUGGUAG
rnacentral:rRNA from 1 species